rnacentral:rRNA from 1 species
UACGAAGGGGGCUAGCGUUGUUCGGAAUCACUGGGCGUAAAGCGCACGUAGGCGGAUCUUUAAGUCAGGGGUGAAAUCCCGAGGCUCAACCUCGGAACUGCCUUUGAUACUGGGGAUCUCGAGUCCGGGAGAGGUGAGUGGAACUGCGAGUGUAGAGGUGAAAUUCGUAGAUAUUCGCAAGAACACCAGUGGCGAAGGCGGCUCACUGGCCCGGAACUGACGCUGAGGUGCGAAAGCGUGGGGAGCAAACGGG